rnacentral:rRNA from 1 species
UAGGGAAUAUUGCGCAAUGGGGGAAACCCUGACGCAGCGACGCCGCGUGAGUGAUGAAGGCCUUCGGGUCGUAAAGCUCUGUUGCAGGGGAAUAACACAAUGAAGGUACCCUGUGAGGAAGGAUCGGCUAACUUCGUGCCAGCAGCCGCGGUAAGACGAGGGAUCCUAGCGUUGUUCGGAAUCAUUGGGCGUAAAGCGGGCGUAGGUGGCUUGGUAAGUCAGGUGUGGAAGCCCAGGGCUACACCCUGG